rnacentral:lncRNA from 1 species
GAAUUUGCUUUUAGUGAGGAGUGGCAUUUGGAGAAAAAGACUUAUUAACUAGAAUGAGCAGAUUAAAGGGAAUUCCAUUCCAGGAGGAAUGCAAGAAAUGACAGUCAGCCUGGACAGGUGAUGAGGCUUUAGUGAAGUAGGACAGGCCAACUCACAAAUAAUGCUGGAUAAUGCUAGGACCCAGUGUUGGGAAAGCCUUGUACUCAGGCACAACAGGGUCUCUUCAUUAUUUUAAUACUGACAGGGACUGAAGUAGCCAUGGAACAAUAGCCCUCCAUUCUAGCUGUUGAGGCCCGCGAGGCACACGUAUGGGAAUCUUAUGGCUCUUCACCUAUGGGAGUCCUCUAGGAACACUUGCAAUUUACACUGAAGCAAUGUGACUGCCCUUGCUCUAGGAUAGAUCAAAACAAGACAUAUCGUAAAGUACAGUUAUCAGAGGGAGGAACUGUUCUGAAUAUUACCAUGUCCUCCCUGUAGCAGGGAGGUGAGCCCUGCUAUGUGACAGCACAGAAUAAAAACUGGUCUUAGUACAAGCCUGUGAACUGAGACAGGGUGAAUGGUUUUGUCUGU